UACGUAGGGUGCAAGCGUUGUCCGGAAUUAUUGGGCGUAAAGAGCUCGUAGGCGGUCUGUCGCGUCUGCUGUGAAAACUCAGGGCUUAACCCUGAGCUUGCAGUGGGUACGGGCAGACUAGAGUGGCGGUAGGGGAGACUGGAAUUCCGUGGUGAUAGCGGUGAAAUGCGCAGAUAUCAGGAGGAACACCGGUGGCGAAGCGGGUCUCUGGGCCGUAACUGACGGCUG
rnacentral:rRNA from 1 species